GUUUUGCGUAAGCGAUUGAAAUGGCAUCCUUUUUUGAGGGUACGAAAAAAAGAUAUAAUGGAAAGCGCGGUUUUUU
rnacentral:sRNA from 1 species